CGAGCGAGCGGAACCACAGAUUUACUUCGGUAAUGACGUUGGGAAAGCGAGCGGCGGAUGGGUGAGUAACACGUGGGGAACCUGCCCCUAAGUCUGGGAUACCAUUUGGAAACAGGUGCUAAUACCGGAUAAUAAAGCGGAUCGCAUGAUCAGCUUUUGAAAGGCGGCGUAAGCUGUCGCUAAGGGAUGGCCCCGCGGUGCAUUAGCUAGUUGGUAAGGUAACGGCUUACCAAGGCGACGAUGCAUAGCCGAGUUGAGAGACUGAUCGGCCACAUUGGGACUGAGACACGGCCCAAACUCCUAUGGGAGGCAGCAGUAGGGAAUCUUCCACAAUGGACGCAAGUCUGAUGGAGCAACGCCGCGUGAGUGAAGAAGGUUUUCGGAUCGUAAAGCUCUGUUGUUGGUGAAGAAGGAUAGAGGUAGUAACUGGCCUUUAUUUGACGGUAAUCAACCAGAAAGUCACGGCUAACUACGUGCCAGCAGCCGCGGUAAUACGUAGGUGGCAAGCGUUGUCCGGAUUUAUUGGGCGUAAAGCGAGCGCAGGCGGAAAAAUAAGUCUAAUGUGAAAGCCCUCGGCUUAACCGAGGAACUGCAUCGGAAACUGUUUUUCUUGAGUGCAGAAGAGGAGAGUGGAACUCCAUGUGUAGCGGUGGAAUGCGUAGAUAUAUGGAAGAACACCAGUGGCGAAGGCGGCUCUCUGGUCUGCAACUGACGCUGAGGCUCGAAAGCAUGGGUAGCGAACAGGAUUAGAUACCCUGGUAGUCCAUGCCGUAAACGAUGAGUGCUAAGUGUUGGGAGGUUUCCGCCUCUCAGUGCUGCAGCUAACGCAUUAAGCACUC
rnacentral:rRNA from 1 species